UGGGGGAUAUUGCACAAUGGGGGAAACCCUGAUGCAGCGACGCCGCGUGAGGGAAGACGGUUUUCGGAUUGUAAACCUCUGUCUUCGGGGACGAACGAAAUGACGGUACCCGAGGAGGAAGCCACGGCUAACUACGUGCCAGCAGCCGCGGUAAUACGUAGGUGGCAAGCGUUGUCCGGAAUUACUGGGUGUAAAGGGAGCGUAGGCGGGAAUGUAAGUUGAAUGUCAAAUGCAUCGGCUCAACCGGUGUUCGCGUUCAAAACUGCGUUUCUUGAGUGAAGUAGAGGCAGGCGGAAUUCCUAGUGUAGCGGUGAAAUGCGUAGAUAUUAGGAGGAACACCAGUGGCGAAGGCGGCCUGCUGGGCUUUUACUGACGCUGAAGCUCGAAAGUGUGGGGAGCAAACA
rnacentral:rRNA from 1 species